rnacentral:rRNA from 1 species
UGUACACACCGCCCGUCGCUACUACCGAUUGAAUGGCUUAGUGAGACCUCCGGAUUGGCAUUUCGCUUCUGGCAACAGAAAUGAAUUGCUGAGAAGUUGGUCAAACUUGGUCAUUUAGAGGAAGUAAAAGUCGUAACAAGGUAACCGUAGGUGAACCUGCGGUUGGAUCAUUA